UACGAAGGGGGGCUAGCGUUGCUCGGAAUGACUGGGCGUAAAGGGCGCGUAGGCGGCGUUUUAAGUCGGGGGUGAAAGCCUGUGGCUCAACCACAGAAUGGCCUUCGAUACUGGGACGCUUGAGUAUGGUAGAGGUUGGUGGAACUGCGAGUGUAGAGGUGAAAUUCGUAGAUAUUCGCAAGAACACCGGUGGCGAAGGCGGCCAACUGGACCAUCACUGACGCUGAGGCGCGAAAGCGUGGGGAGCAAACAGG
rnacentral:rRNA from 1 species